GAGACUACAUAAGACUUUGACAGUUGGCGGGAAACCAUCAUCAACUGGAGAGAUGCCGGUAAAAAGAUGGCCAUAAAACAGUGACCGCUGAUUCGCAUUGAGUUCUUUCUUACAUAUUGGAUGACCUAUGUUUUUUAUUGUUUAAAUCAUUGCGGCUUGGAAUGCUCUUUAAGAAAAGGAAGAGGAAUGUCUGCGACUAAGUCAAGGGCCACUGGAUAAGGGUUGUUGAUGGCAAAACAGGUUGGAGACUACAUAAGACUUUGACAGUUGGCGGGAAACCAUCAUCAACUGGAGAGAUGCCGGAAGAGGAAUGUCUGCGACUAAGUCAAGGGCCACUGGAUAAGGGUUGUUGAUGGCAAAACAGGUUGGAGACUACAUAAGACUUUGACAGUUGGCGGGAAACCAUCAUCAACUGGAGAGAUGCCGGUAAAAAGAUGGCCAUAAAACAGUGACCGCUGAUUCGCAUUGAGUUCUUUCUUACAUAUUGGAUGACCUAUGUUUUUUAUUGUUUAAAUCAUUGCGGCUUGGAAUGCUCUUUAAGAAAAGGUAUGGUUAUGGGGGUGUCUACGCGCAAAAGUUUGACUUUAUUUUUGUUAAAGUUAUUGCUUUUACAUUGAAUUUGUGCAGGAAAUCUUUUGGUAUGUUGUGACCUAUAUACAGUGCUGAUUAAAAGGGAAAAACCCAUCUGUUUCUCGGGCCUACGGCUGCGCCGACAGGCCCCUCUUGAAGGCCUCUACGCUGUCAGCUGUGGUGCCCGGCGAUGGGUGCUGGUUCCACAGUCUGAUGGCGGAGAGGAAGAAGGAGUACUUGUAGACGUCUGUCCGACAGAAGGGUAGCAAGAAGCGUGUGCAGUUGCCCCUUGUGCUUGUGGUAGUCGGGUGAAAGAAGGUCUCUGGUUGGAUGUCA